rnacentral:rRNA from 1 species
GACAGAGGGUGCAAACGUUGUUCGGAAUUACUGGGCGUAAAGCGCGUGUAGGCGGCUAAGUAAGUCGGGCGUGAAAUCCCACGGCUCAACCGUGGAAGUGCACUCGAAACUGCAUAGCUAGAGUCCUGGAGAGGAAGGUGGAAUGCUUGGUGUAGAGGUGAAAUUCGUAGAUAUCAAGCGGAACACCGGUGGCGAAGGCG